AGUGAACGCUGGCGGCGCGCCUAAUACAUGCAAGUCGAGCGAGAAGACGUAGCAAUACGUUUGUAAAGCGGCGAACGGGUGAGGAAUACAUGGGUAACCUACCCUCGAGUGGGGAAUAACUAGCCGAAAGGUUAGCUAAUACCGCGUACGCUUCUUGGACUUCGGCUCAGGGAGGAAAGCGAUACCGUGGGUAUCGCGCUCUUGGAUGGGCUCAUGUCCUAUCAGCUUGUUGGGAGGUAACGGCUCACCAAGGCUUCGACGGGUAGCUGGUCUGAGAGGACGAUCAGCCACACUGGCACUGCGACACGGGCCAGACUCCUACGGGAGGCAGCAGUGAGGAAUAUUGCGCAAUGGGCGAAAGCCUGACGCAGCGACGCCGCGUGGGGGA
rnacentral:rRNA from 1 species